rnacentral:rRNA from 1 species
GCCAACGAUCAUACCACGUUGAAUACACCAGUUCCUUUCAGAUCACUGAAGUUAAGUAACGUCGGACGUGGUCAGUACUUGGAUGGGUGACCGCUUGGGAACACCACGUAUCGUUGGCUUCG